UGGAGAUGUAAGGUAAUCUGUGGAUCAAGCGGAAUCAAAAAUAUUGAUUUCGUCGGACGCCGCAUCCGAUUUUAUCUGUCAAACUAAAUGUGUGGUUUUUUGUACGAACAAUCUCAACUUAAUUUUUCAUAAUCAUUAAAUUAUUAAAAUCAUUCAAAUAAUCGCAAUAUGAUACGAAAAGCGUUUGACAGCACAUGCGAUUAAAUCGCAUGCGAUGGAGCACAGACACGGGCCUUAAAUGUCUCUGUUGAACUUCUGGUUCUAGUUGCUAGUGAUUCCCAUAUAGAGUUUUAUACAUUAAGUGAUUUGGGAAAUGGUUAUAUGACUUUUUGGUUAGUAUUACGAAAAAAUCUGUGAUUUUCGGUAGGAUAAAUGAAAAAUCGGUAAUUUUAGGGGGCUCAUCUGUGAAUCGGUAGGCAUAUCAAAAAUCGGUAUUUCUGGUCACUCUGACGUGAACGUCAACAUCGUCUGUCAAAAUUGAUACCGCCGAAAGAUCCCCGUUCAUUUGUGUUGAAGCCGCAAACCGGACCGGAACAUAGAAAUGGAACCAAAAAUUGAUGCAAAUCGCGGAAGUAUUCGGCGACGCCAAUUCGCACAUACUUCCGUAGCGAUUAUAUCACAUCUUUUACCUCAUGACCCGCUCAAGACACUUCCUGCCGGCCAAAGUACCCUGGAAUGAUACAUGAUGGAGGUUGACGCCACAACGUUUCUGGAAACAAUGGCCACAACGCGCCAUCAAUAGAGAUGUACGAAGAUAAUUCAGAAUUUGUUUCCGUAAUUCAGUCGAUAAUAUAGCUGCCAAGAGCGUUCAUAAUUAAAACCAAUAAUUGCAGACAACUUAAAGCAUAAAUCCUUGCUUUGGAAAAUGUUUCUACUCCCAACCUUUCCGAAAGGUGAUCCGAUAACUAUGGUUACGGUUCGGACCACUUGGUUGAAUUUGGUUGUCAUUUUCAUGGCUUGCUUCUGAACAUGUAAUGAUGCGAAAUUGCAUUAAUAAAAUAAAGGUUCGAAAAUAAACGAUUUUACAAACAACA